rnacentral:misc_RNA from 1 species
UUUAGGGAGACCUACCCAACUUGAAGUGAAUGAGGUUCAAUGAAUCUUCGGAUGAAUAGAGCCAGAGAAUUCACAUGAAGAUGGUCAUUCCUAGGUCGUUCGAGGAAAAAAGUCAUAUAAUCUAAUCAAGCUAUUAACGGUAUCGGUAAAAAACUAACCGAGAUUGAAGUCAGCACCUAAGUUCAUCAGUGACAAAGAACUAAUGAAUCGGAAUGCUGAGUAAUGACUCAGUAAAGAACCAUGAAAACUGCAUAAUAGAAGCGAAAAAGGUAGGUAGUACGAGAAGCUUGAGAGCACUAAGGUGUGAUUGAGUGAAAUCGGAAACAGACAAAA